GUGUUUGCCUUGGUAGCACAUAUACUAAAACUGGAUUGAUAAGAGAAGAUUAGCAUGCCUCCUGCAUAAGAUGACUUGAAAAUUUGUAAAAGUUACAGAGAUGGGU
ensembl:snRNA U6 U6 spliceosomal RNA